CCUACGGGGGGCAGCAGUAGGGAAUCUUCCGCAAUGGACGAAAGUCUGACGGAGCAACGCCGCGUGAGCGAAGAAGGUCUUCGGAUCGUAAAGCUCUGUUGUCGGGGAAGAACAAGUACGGUAGGAAAUGGACGUACCUUGACGGUACCCGACGAGAAAGCCACGGCUAACUACGUGCCAGCAGCCGCGGUAAUACGCAGGUGGCAAGCGUUGUCCGGAAUUAUUGGGCGUAAAGCGCGCGCAGGGGGUCCGUUAAGGCUGGUGUGAAAUUUUGCGGCUACACCGCAAGCGGUCAGUUGACACUGUGGGGCUUGAGUGCAGAAGAGGGAAGCUGAAUUCUACGGGUAGCGGUGAAAUGCGUAGAGAUGUGGAGGAACACCAGUGGCGAAGGCGGCUUUCUGGUCUGUAACUGACGCUGAGGCGCGAAAGCGUGGGGAGCAAACAGGAUUAGAUACCCCUGUAGUC
rnacentral:rRNA from 1 species